UACAGAGGUCUCAAGCGUUUGUUCGGAUUCAUUGGGCGUAAAGGGUGCGUAGGUGGCGCUGUAAGUCGGGUGUGAAAUUUCGGAGCUUAACUCCGAAACUGCAUUCGAUACUGCGGUGCUUGAGGACUGGAGAGGAGACUGGAAUUCAUGGUGUAGCAGUGAAAUGCGCAGAUAUCAGGAGGAACACCGGUGGCGAAGGCGGCGACCUGGGUAGAUACUGACGCUGAGGCGCGAAAGCGUGGGGAGCAAACAGG
rnacentral:rRNA from 1 species